rnacentral:lncRNA from 1 species
CCAGAGCCGCAUUAAAGCCAGUCCCAGCCAGGCUUAAGGAGAGCUGGAAUGGAGAGGAUUCUCAUCUAACAUCUGGGUUGCAGUUGUAUGUUAACAUGGACUUCCUAGGAAGUAACAUAUCAAACAAAAGGGAAAGUGAUCAACCAGCAGCAGGUACCAGCCACAGUUAACUGCACCUGCUAGGAGCUCUGAAAGACUUUUUUUUUUUUUAAACGAAUAAAGAAAUUCUCAUUUCACUCUCCUCCACACUGGACUCGCUGAAGAAAGAGCUACUCUCUGAUGAAGUUGGUGGUGCUGUGGAAGAGGACCGCCGCCUCCUGGACGAGGACCGGGACCGCUCAGCAUUGUCUGACUGACAGGAAAGGACCCAGAUAAGAUCCUGGAGGCAAUGGGAUGUGUGGCUGCUCAACACAGACCGACCACACUUGCUCACUGCCGUGUCAUCUCAUACCCUUCCACCCUGGACAUACAUACCUUCUCACAUGCACCAAGACUCUGUGCAUGGAGAGAAUCCUCAAACCAACAGAAAAAUGAUUGACACAGAAGCCAAGUGCCAGCACUGCGUAUAAGUAACACUACCACCAUCCACAGUGAAGUUAAAAGGAGUUCGAGUAAAUUCUUAGAUCCAUCUUCAUACUUCCACUUCCUCAGACAGCCGGGAGAGCCACCUUUCAGAAGCUUUUUUCAUCUGAUCCUCAUGUCCUUUCAAAGGGAUGUUCACAAGUUUUGAGAACAAAUUUAGGAGUUUGAAGAAAAUGAGAGUAAGUCAUGGAGAGUAGAAGACAUUCCAAAGUGGUAAAUGUAGGCUGAAAAUGUAGCAUCUGAACCUGGGAGGCUCUGACCAUCUACUAUAAACGUGGACCUACUAACUGCAAUGAAGUAUCACAGGACUGUCUGAUAGACCAUUGUUCUGAUCUCUUGAAAAAGAGACUCUGUGUGGUACUCUAAGAAUUACAGUCCUCCCGCUCCGUGAUCAAGGUGUGCUCAUUCCAAGUUGUGAGAGUCUUCUGUGCUGAAAGACGAGCAACUACUUGCUGGGGCACCGAUUGGAGGGUCCAGGCAAGGUCAAGGUGGCCUCUGCUGAGAUCUUUCUGGAAAGAAAUCAAAAUCCUAACAGGAGUGGAAAAUCACUGGAAUCAAGAGCCUUGAGUUAUGCAAGAUGAAGCUGGCUCACUUCCGAAAGCUUUCUAGGUUCAAGACUCCUCCGGCCCCUGCCCGUGUCUCGUCACUCCUUGCCUAGCUGAUGUGCCAGACUUAAGAGACAAUAUGCAGCUGCCCAAUCUCACUCCACACCUUUGUAACCAAAAUGAAUUAUGAUGUUCCCUUUGCUUGGACUGGCCUUUGCUACCUCGAUUUCCUGACGAUGGGCUAACACCUCUUCAUCCUUCAAAGUAAUGCAGGAAUCAAUAGGAUGGAAUACUGCAAAGGGAAGCUUGGAGAGAGAAUAGCCUCUGCACUUUGACUGUUUUGCAGUUAACCAAAGGCCAUCGAGGAUCAGAAUUACAAAAAUCAAACAGACCCAUGAGCUUGAGCUCAGUUGUGCAAAAUGUUUGUCAGUCAUCUCUCUUCAAAACAAACACAGGACAUCUUCUUAAAUUCUACCUCUGUUAAACUAUACUUCCCAAACAAGAACCUAUCAAACC